GAGAGCCUACGGGGCGCAGCAGUAGGGAAUCUUCCACAAUGGGCGAAAGCCUUAUGGAGAACGCCGCGUGGGUGAAGAAGGUCUUCGGAUCGUAAAACCCUGUUGUUAGAGAAGAAAGUGCGUGAGAGUAACUGUUCACGUUUCGACGGUAUCUAACCAGAAAGCCACGGCUAACUACGUGCCAGCAGCCGCGGUAAUACGUAGGUGGCAAGCGUUAUCCGGAUUUAUUGGGCGUAAAGGGAACGCAGGCGGUCUUUUAAGUCUGAUGUGAAAGCCUUCGGCUUAACCGGAGUAGUGCAUUGGAA
rnacentral:rRNA from 1 species